GGGAGGUCUUACAUGCAGUCGAACGGAGUUAUCAUUUUUGAAGCGAUUAGCUUGCUAAGAGUGGAAAUGUUGGUAACUUCAGUGGCGGACGGGUGAGUAACGCGUGGAGAACCUGCCUUACACAGGGGGAUAACACUUAGAAAUAGGUGCUAAUACCGCAUAAGCGCACAGGACCGCAUGGUCCGGUGUGAAAAACUGAGGUGGUGUAAGAUGGCUCCGCGUCUGAUUAGCUUGUUGGUAGGGUAACGGCCUACCAAGGCGACGAUCAGUAGCCGGCCUGAGAGGGUGAACGGCCACAUUGGGACUGAGACACGGCCCAAACUCCUACGGGAGGCAGCAGUGGGGAAUAUUGGACAAUGGGGGAAACCCUGAUCCAGCGACGCCGCGUGAGUGAAGAAGUAUUUCGGUAUGUAAAGCUCUAUCAGCAGGGAAGAAAAUGACGGUACCUGACUAAGAAGCCCCGGCUAACUACGUGCCAGCAGCCGCGGUAAUACGUAGGGGGCAAGCGUUAUCCGGAUUUACUGGGUGUAAAGGGAGCGUAGACGGCAUUGCAAGUCUGAUGUGAAAGAUUGGGGCUCAACCCCAGGCCUGCAUUGGAAACUGUAAAGCUGGAGUACAGGAGAGGUAAGCGGAAUUCCUAGUGUAGCGGUGAAAUGCGUAGAUAUUAGGAGGAACACCAGUGGCGAAGGCGGCUUCCUGGUCUGCAACUGACACUGAGGCGCGAAAGCGUGGGGAGCAAACAGGAUUAGA
rnacentral:rRNA from 1 species